rnacentral:lncRNA from 1 species
AACCACUAGACAUAAAUUAUAAUCUCAGAAUUACCAAGAAAUCCUAACACCUAUUAAAUCUAGAGUAUUUAACACCUUAUCAUGACCUAACCCUAGAUCCCAUGAUCCCGGUUACAGGUGUUUAGCCACUCAUGAUGCAAGAAACAAGUAGGCAAAUUGAAUUCAUAACUAAAAGGAUUAACUUACAAUGAUGAAGAAAAUCAAAAGUAUACUUUGAUUUGAAUCACAGGGCAAAACUCCAAAAUAUUAGUUUUUGAGAGAGAGAUAGAAAUAUCGUAUAUUGUAUCUUGUAGGAUAUGUCCAAUCCUUAAUGAUCGAAUGAAUAAAAAAAAAACUAAAACAAGGCUUUAAAUAGUUAACCCUAAAUAAGGAAAUAAAAUUAAAGUUCAGACUUUCUUCGAAAUAGAUAACGGCGCUCGUGACGGCCUAUCAGGAGUUUGACGGCCUAUCACGAACGUCGUCAGCUUCUCUGCAAGUUUAGCUUCUGCUGCCUAAGGUUGACGAUGACGUUACUCCUUAUCAUCAUCUUGACGACGUGUCAUGAAUGUCAUCACAAAACUUCCUACAACUUUCAUCUUCUGUUUAAGGUUGACGGCAUCCUUGACAGCCUAUCACCAGGCUGACGACGUGUUAUGGAUAUCGUCAGCCACAGUUUGUUCUUUAUUUGCUUCCGAUUUCAUGCUUUUUGCUUCCUUUAUUUGUGGUUCCCCUUCUUCUCUAUUUAUACUGGAAAAUCAAAGUAAACUAAUCAAAAACGACUAAAGUUGCUCAAGACUUUGCAAUUAUUUAGAGUUAAAAGUUGUAAAUGUAUUAGCAUGGGCUCACACAUCAACACCCUCAACUUAAACAAUUGGUUGUCCUCAAGCAACCAGAACAUAACCAAGAGUAUACAAAGUACAAGUUGGCAGCUAACUACUCAUAUCAGUUCAGAAUAUAUGCACCAUCUCCAAGGUCAGUCAAAUUAAGAGAAACUAUGUGUAUUAUUGAAAACACCCAUGCAACUCACGAGGAUCAAGAUAUGGCAAGAAUUUUAGCAAUAACAACCCAGCACAUACCCAAAUCACACUAUCCGAUUAAGGCAGUGAUUAGCAACAUACCUAGUGUGCCCUCACAACAAAGAAAUCCCUUUUUCACUCAUGUCAGAAUUUACAUACGUAAACACAGGGAUAAACACAAAACUCACUCUCAGAAAGAAGUUCCAACAUUUCGUACCAAAUGCCAUAGGCUUGCCCCUAUAAUCAGUACCCAAGUUAUCAGACAGGUCAGUUAGGAUCACUAUAGGGCUUUUCUAAAGCUUGUAACGUAGGUUAGGGGCUGGUAUGAUAUUCAUGGAUAUUUAAGAGUGACUAUGCCUCCUUGAAACUACACUAAACUCUUGGGGUUUCAACUCCCAACCUUCUUUUCUUCCUCUCUUUUAUUUAUCACACAUGCUCAAGAUGGAUGCGGUCUUUUCAAUUAUCACAUUAUCUUUUUAUCAUCUUUUACACUACUUUCUCAUUUCUUAUUCUUUUCUUUUAUUCUUCCUCUCUUCAUACUCAUUUUGUAUCACGCACCCCUAUAAUAGCCACCCUCAACUUAGGCGGUUUGCCUAAGUCAAGGUGCAUAGUGUCCAAGGAGGACCAGGGCCAAAACAGGUUCAUUAUGAUGUAAACGGGAAGGUGAGAGGUAUCGUAGAAAGAAAUAGGCUAAUUAGGCUCAAAACAGGAAUCAAGAGAUAUUAUGCACAUAGGGAAGAUCAUUUUGGCUAAAGUGGGAUAAAAUAAAAAAAAGGGCAUAUGAUCCUUUCCUAACUCCUAUCCUAUGACCAUGACAAGACUAACAGGGCAAGUUCUAGAUUCAACACACAACGGGAACUGAGUAAGACCUUACACACACAAGGCACUCAAGUAUCUCGCAUAUCACUACUUAUCCAGUUCAUGUACUUGUUUAACAAAGGUUAUUCAGUUGCCAGACUAAUGCCACAAAAAGAUACAUCGUGGUCACAAAUGGAUGCAAUUCACAUAGUAAUAUAUCAGACCAAUGGAGAGGUGCUCAAAAAUCACAAAAACGAGUUAACUGCCUUAGUUACUUAUAUUUCUCCUAGUUAACUACAACACAUCACAAAACAAGCGUAAUACGCCUAAACAUGCCGGAUCUAUUAGGAACAAUACUCUAGGGAAAAGAGGCACGGCAACAAAAACUCCAGGAGGACAUCAACACCUACAAGUAGCCCCAACACCCUCAACUUAAAACCAUGCAAUGUCCUCAAUGCGUCAAACUAAAACAAGAGAGUUAGAAACAUACCUGUGGAACCAUGGGUGCGAUGUCAAUCACAUAAUACGAAUACAAACAACAAAAUACCUUGGGUUGCCUCCCAAGAAGCGCCUAAUUUAGUGUCGCGGCAUGACAACAUCCAGUCAUCUUUUAUUCCUCUACUUUGAAGAUUUAAAUUGUCGGCCCAUCUUUUUAUCUUUACAUCUUUUAGGUCCAUUGGGCAAAUGUGAGGGCAUGAUAAGGAAUGUUCUAUCACGCCACUUCGAAGACUUGAACCGCUUGCUCAAUUUUGCAUCGAACUUUCGUGUGGGCUCAUUAGGCAACGAUAAGGAUCUUAAAAAGCUACUAAAUGGAUAUCGAUUUUUAAGCUUCUUGGCCUUCAAGACUGGGGUUGUAGUAUACCCUUUUAGAAAGAUAAACUCCAAAAUAUAAGAAUUUUCCUCCUCAUUUUCAAAAUUCAUCAUUUGCUCGGGUGGUUCGACUUUCAUCACAUCCACCAAGCAUAAUGUUGAAAAGUGGUUUGAAUGAGGACUGACUCUCAAUUCUGGAGUAGCGUCUCUAUUAGUAUCUUUACCCCAAAAUGGACUAGAGUCUUCACAAAGAUUGUUCUUGAUUUCUUCUUUUAAUUUUAGUACCAUUUCCUCAUCUUUGGCAUCUUCGUUCAUAAAUGGUUUGGUUGGUUGGGAAAUCUCCAAUGGAAGAUCAACAUCAAGCACAUCAUCAAUAUAGGAUUCUUGCUCCUCAUCUUCGCACUCUCUCAUUAUGUUAAAUGAUUCUACAGGCAAGAUAUCAUCUAAACAUAAUAUAAAAGAAUAUUUUGAAUAAUUGACCUCUAUAUCCAUCUCCUCAUGAAUAAUCGGCAUCAUGUCUUCACGCAUAUCACAUACGAUAUCAUAUGUUUCUUUCUGGAGAUCCAACAUUCGUUGAAACAUAGCUUCAAUGCCACUCUUACCGGUGCUUCGUUCUUUUUUUCUUGAUCAUAAGACCUAUUAAACUCAUAAGAAGAACUAGAAUUUGGGUUAGCGCAAUAGGGGGAGGGGGCAUUUGGGCAAUCACUCCAAUGUCCAUCUCGACCACCACAUAAAGAACAAUCAUACUCCUGGUAGGAUGGAGAUGGUACACACAUCUCUCCCUGGAGAGCAUAUCUACAAUCUUUCCAAAAGUGAGGUCCAUCACAAUAUGGACAUGGAUCAUCAAGAUAAGAUUUUCAACCACCAAGCUCAUGUUCAUUCCACGAUGUCAUAGUAAUAAGUAAACUAAAAUAAAAAUCUACCUAACACAAGAAAUAAAAGAAAACUAAAAAAAAAUAUUUACAAGUUUGAAUUCAAGCUAGUAGGCUAAAAUUCCAAACCAACUCAAUACGCCAAAUUGUUCCCCGGUAACGGCGCCAUUUUUGAUACGCUCAAAUUACACUCUUGAAUGGGUGUAAGCGAUCAUUGUCAAUAUAAAACUCAACUAGGUUAGGGUCGAAUCCCACAGGGAACAAUAUGAGUGGCGAUUAAACUAGUUUGAAACUAAAGCUACAAGUUAAAUUCAAACAAACGAUAUAAAAAGAUAAAAUGGGGGUUUUAGAGAUUAGCAAAUAAUUUUUGGUCACUUUAAUUUCAGUGUUUGUUAAUCAAGAUUUUAUGAAAUAAUCAGGAUUAUGUUCACUAGGGCUUACGGUACAUGACAGAUGCUAAAAUUUACUCAAGACUCUCACGGUAGUUAGGAUCACAAGCUAUCUUUAUCGAUGAUAUGCUUAAAUGUCUCUAGACCUAUUCAAGAGUCUAAUUUCCUAAUUCUCUCGGACUUAGGGAAUCGCUAUGCAUUGUCCAGAUUUUACCUUAGGUAAAUCAACCUUGUUAUAGCGUUGAUUAUUAAAUGAAGUUUUUUCGAGUCCCUGUUGAUAAUUCACUUCUUACUAUUUAUGAUUUUUUUCUCAAGAAAACCAAAGUAGGUACGCCUACUGUUUGCAACAAACAGACGUAAAUUAUAAUCUCAGAAUUACCAAGAAAUCCUAACACCUAUUAAAUCUUAAGUAUUUAACACCUUAUCAUGACCUAACCCUAGAUCCCAUGAUCCAGGUUACAGGUGUUUAGCCACUCAUGAUACAAGAAACAAGUAUGCAAAUUGAAUUCAUAACUGAAAGGAUUAACUUACAAUGAUGAAGAAAAUCAAAAGUCUACUUUGAAUUGAAUCACAGUGCAAAACUCCAAAAUAUUAGUUUUUGAGAGAGAGAGAGAGAAAUAUCGUAUAUUGUAUCUUGUAGGAUAUGUCCAAUCCUUAAUGAUCGAAUGAAUAAAAAAAACUAAAACAAGGCUUUAAAUAGUUAACCCUAAAUAAGAAAAUAAAAUUAAAGUUCAGAUUUUCUUCAGAAUAGAUGACGGCGCUCGUGAUGGCCUAUCAAGAGUUAGACGACCUAUCACGGACGUCGUCAGUUUCUCUGCAAGUUUAGCUUCUGCUGCCUAAAGUUGACGACGACGGUGAUGCCUUAUCAUCACCUUGACGGUGUGUAAUGAAUGUCGUCACAAAACUUUCUGCAACUUUCAUCUUCUGUUUAAGGUUGACGGCAUCCUUGACAGCCUAUCACCAGGCUGACGACGUGUCAUGGAUGUCGUCAGCCACACUUUGUUCUUUAUUUUCUUUUGAUUUCAUGUUUUUUGCUUCCUUUAUUUGUGGUUCCCCUUCUACUCUACUUAUACUGCAAAAUCAAAGUAAACUAAUCAAAAAACGACUAAAGUUACUCAAGACUUUGCAAUUAUUUAGAAAGCUGUAAAUGUGUUAGCAUGGGCUCACACAUCAACCUACACUGGGGUCCACUAACAAGGCUGUUCGGGGGAGUAUAUGGUCGAUAGUGGCUGUGAGAGCUUUCCACCCACUCCAUACACCUGACAGCUCCCCUUCCUAAAAUAAGGGUGACUCAAUUAGAGGUCAUGUACACACGUGCACUACGAAUUUGUUGCGAAAAAAAUGACUCGGGUUAUGCACAUAAUGCCAGAUAUAAAGUGGUAACACAUAAUAAAAACUAUAAACAUGCAACACAUAGGUAAUCAACAAUGAUAAAAUAAAUACAAACGAUAACACAAACAAUGUUUAUACACACAUAAUUUCAAACUAUGCCGAUACAACUCCAAAAGUAAGCUCGGAUUCUGAAAAUUUCUCCAGCAGAGUCGUCAAUGCUGUCACCCCCUUUUUUAACCAAAAAGAUGGAUUUUAAUGUUUGAAAAGGUUUUAUUAUCUAAGUGACAAAAGAUUUAAAAUUUAUUUCAAAAAAAAGAUUAUUUACAUUUUUUAUUCAGAGUCGCCACUUGACAUAAGCCGGUGUGCCAAGUCACCUUUGAAAAAUUCUUUUCAAAACUUUGACUCUUUAAAACUGGUUUGCUAACAGAGAUUCCAAGUAAUGAAUUCUGUUGAUCGAGGCGAAGGUGUUAGGCACCCCUCGAUCCCGUGGUUCGGCCACGGUCUCUUGGUGAAUUAUAUCGGCUCGUAAGACACUAUGAAUAUAUAAACCCAUAAAAACACAUAAAAGAAUCAAACAAACACAUCAAACACAAUCCAAAACCACAAUAAUAACGUUCAGUCCAAUUAUACAGUCCAAAAUAGUCCUAUUCUAAACUAGUCCUAAACUAAGCUCCACCCGACGCCUCGGGCCUUCGUCACGAACAUCUUUCAGGUACAAAAUACUUCGGGGCAUUCUCCGACCAGAUGAUACAUUUGAUCAAGCACGAUAAACUAGAAAACAUUCAACACACAUUCCACAUUCAAACAUUCAACAAAACACUUAUUCCUAAAUUUUUCCUACCCGAACCUAUACUUGUCUAUUCAUUUCAACAUGUCAUAAUUCUAUCACGUUCCAACGACAAUCAUGCUUAUUCCGAAUUAAACAAAACAACAAUAAAUCAAAAUUGAUCUAUGUUCACCCUUUUUAUCAAUUUCACAAUUCUACCCCAUCUAACUUCAUUUUUUAUCAAUCACACUAUCAAAACUACUCAAAUUCGUUUCACAUAUCACCAAAAUCACAUCAUCAAGCACAUAAUCAUAACAUUAACAAAAUCCAACAAUCAUAAUCACCCCACACAUAAUCACAACAUCGAUGCCAAAUUAAAAGAAAUAAGGAGUAAGAGUUAUAGAGAUGGACCUUCCGAAUGCUCUCAAUUGAUUAAGAAGAGAAUAAAAGCGGUCCUGAAACCUAGAAGAAUACCACAAUCUCAAUCCCGAACCAGUAAUUGGACUGGUUUAAAACUGUGAUGAAAUUGAAUUUUGAUUCAAACCAAGGAAACCUUGAAGAGUCAAUGAAUACCCGAAACCAAAACUCAAAAAAAAAAUGAGAAUCCGUAUGACAAUUUCGACGAGACUUUAAUGGAGUCGGAGUAAACUGUCGACUUUUCUGACUUGUCGACUGGACUGAUGUUUUCAGGCUGGAUUUCACCAGAGAAACCAAAAAAAAUGAGAAAAGUGUCUGGGGAUUUCAAUAUUGGGACAAAUUUAAGCUCGGGAUACUUGAACUUGACUAGAAAAUACCGUUUCCGGCGACCCCUGGUGUUUUUUGGUCAGAUUCCGGUGCUAAUUUUGGUGGGAUUGCGCCGAUUUCGUUGUUUAUUUGCCAAAUCUCUCAAAAUCCUUUCAUUCUUUCGAUUCUCUCCCUCUCUCUGCUUUGCUCUCUCUCUUCGUUACUCUCUCUUUCUCUCCGUUACUCUCUUUGUGUGUGUGAGUAUAUGUGUAUGUCUUUAUUCACUGGUUGUGUUGUGUGUGUGUAAUGUAUUGUAGUAUGUGUUAGUGGGUGUGUAUUGAAUAAAUGGAGGAGUGUGUAGGUGUCCAUUAAUGGUGGAGAGAUAGUUUGUGAGUAUAUUCUUGAAAGUGUUUUCUUUUUUGAGAAAGAAGAUGAUGAGUGUUUUCAAUGAAAAUUUCCUCUUCUUUUUGGCCCUCUGUGUCUAUGUGUAUAUCCUCUCCUUUCUUUGUGAAAAGAAACGUGGGGGUGGGGGGGG